GCGCGCAAGGGGGACGCCGUCGCUGUCAAGGUCAUCCCCAAGGCCAAGAUGACAACAUCCAUUGCUAUAGAGGAUGUCCGGAGGGAGGUGAAAAUUUUGAAGGCUUUAGCAGGGCACAAGAACCUGGUUCAGUUUUAUGAUGCAUAUGAGGACAACGAAAAUGUCUACAUAGUCAUGGAGUUGGUACAAUUUUAUAUUCAGCUCAAAGAGGUCCUGCGGUACAGCUUAGGAAAUAAAGGCGAAUCAAUUUGGUGAGGAUAAACUGGAUUGCCUUCUAUUGUGAGUUGUCUGAGGGGAACCCAUGCUUCUUCUUACUGAAUCAUCUGCAGCGUCUAGGGAAUAAUGGUGCUCUGACAGGUCGUGGAAGCUUAUGAAGAAUUAUACAGUAAAUAAGUGGAUACUUUGUGUUACUAUUGCUGCAUGAAUGAUGCGGCCUUCUGCUGUCGUGUGA